CCGGAGCCCGUAGUCUCUUUGGAAACUUCUGCAGGGGAAAAGAGCUAGGAAAGAGCUGCAAAGCAGUGUGGGCUUUUUCCUUUUUUUGCUCCUUUUCAUUACCCCUCCUCCGUUUUCACCCUUCUCCGGACUUCGCGUAGAACCUGCGAAUUUCGAAGAGGAGGUGGCCAAGUGGGAGAAAAGAGGUGUUAGGGUUUGGGGUUUUUUUGUUUUUUGUUUUUUUAAUUUCUUGAUUUCAACAUUUUCUCCCACCCUCUCUGCUGCAGCCAACGCCUCUUACCUGUUCUGCGGCGCCGCGCACCGCUGGCAGCUGAGGGUUAGAAAGGAGCGGGGUAUAUUUUAGAUUUUAAGCAAAAAUUUUAAAGAUAAAUCCAUUUUUCUCUCCCACCCCCAACGCCAUCUCCACUGCCUCCGAGCUCAUUAUUUCGGUGGUUGCUUGGGGGUGAACAAUUUUGUGGCUUUUUUCCCCCUAUAAUUCUGACCAGCUCAGGCUUGACGGUUUCUCCGGCCUCCGCUCACUGCGUGCACCUGGCGCUGCCCUGCUUCCCCCAACCUGUUGCAAGGCUUUAAUUCUUGCAACUGGGACCUGCUCGCAGGCACCCCAGUCCUCCACCUCUCUCCACAUUUUUGCAAGUGUCUGGGGGAGGGCACCUGCUCUACCUGCCUGAAAUUUUAAAACAAAAACAAAAACAAAAAAAUCUCCGGGCGCCCUCUUGGCCCCUUUAUCCCUGCACUCUCGCUCUCCUGCCCCACCCCGAGGUAAAGGGGGCGACUAAGAGAAGAUGGUGUUGCUCACCGCGGUCCUCCUGCUGCUGGCCGCCUAUGCGGGGCCGGCCCAGAGCCUGGGCUCCUUCGUGCACUGCGAGCCCUGCGACGAGAAAGCCCUCUCCAUGUGCCCCCCCAGCCCCCUGGGCUGCGAGCUGGUCAAGGAGCCGGGCUGCGGCUGCUGCAUGACCUGCGCCCUGGCCGAGGGGCAGUCGUGCGGGGUCUACACCGAGCGCUGCGCCCAGGGGCUGCGCUGCCUCCCCCGGCAGGACGAGGAGAAGCCGCUGCACGCCCUGCUGCACGGCCGCGGGGUUUGCCUCAACGAAAAGAGCUACCGCGAGCAAGUCAAGAUCGGUGAGCGCGCUCAGUGUGCCAGUCAGUUACGCGGCGCACGGGCGGGGGACACGGGACCGGCUGGGCCCGCGCGCUUUGCGCAGCAAGUGGCUUCGAGCUGGGGUGCAGCUCGGGAGUACUCGGGGAGGGUCCUUGCACCUCGGAAUUGGAGCCCUGGAGGAUCCUGCUACCCUGGGGAACUGUCUAGCCGAGUCUAUCCCAGCUCGCUCUUUCUCCUUUCUCCUACCCACACCUUGCCGCCCCUCCCCCUACUCUGUCCGAAUACUGAUUCUGAGCUCCUAUUCGGUCACAAGGUCCAAAUCCCCUGGUACCCUAUCUACAGUCUGAAAGAGUGUAUGUUACAUUAUCAACUCCCUCCUCCACCCUCCUCGCGCCCCGCAUACGUUUUUUUCUGAACUUGGAAAAAAAUCUCUUUUGUUAAAAUAUUAUUUUAAUUGCGGCCUCCCAUCUUCUGAGCUAAUUCCACCUUUGUCCCUCUUGGCCCCUCCACCCCCUUGCCUCCAGACGUUUCUAUCCCUCCACCCCUACACACACACCACAAACACCCCACAUCCUUGGUAGCUAAUGCCUUUCGGGUGGGAGCCCUAAGCCCCUCCCAUGUGCAUAACCAUUGCUUUUUAUUGAAGAUGAUUGCCUGUGGUAGAUGGUAAAACAUAUUUAACUGCAAAAUGACUUUUAUUUUAUCCCAGGAAGGGAAAAAAUACUUUAGGAGCGCGGGGGUGCGGGGUGGGGGUGGGGAAGAGUAGGAAGGAAGGGUUUGGUAUUCUGUGCCUGGUGUUCGUUUCUGAAUCUAAUUCCUUUUCCCCCUCUCCAAUUCAGAUUUUACCUAGGAUGAAAGGUGGACAUAGGGCUGGGAGGCAAAAGAGCAUGUGAGAUUCAGACCUUUCAACUUCCUCGCCUAUGCAGAUUCCUGGCACCACCACCACCUCCACCCCCGCCCCGCAAUUCCUCCCUCCGCAAUCCCCCCACCCCUCCCUCCCCAAUCUCUUAAACCAGAUCACAAGUGGGUGUGGAUUAAGUGCAUGAGGGGCCCUGGAAACGCAGAAUGCAAUAUUCAGGGGGCGGAGACAGAAAAGCCACGCACUGGGAGCCUCGCCUCCGCUUGCCCCGCCCCCGGGUUGCGCCGCCCCCAAAUUCUCGGCGCCAGGAGUCUAGGGUUGAAAUGAUUGACACAGCUACUUGUUCAAUCAGAGCAGUUCUACCCCCUUAGACUGAGUUUCUUUUUGGAAAGAGUUACCUGAUCUUUAGUUUAAAAAAAAAAAAAUUAAAUUAACUACAUAAAAGUCUGGGUUCUAAGACGUCAAACUGGCUAUUGAUUCUCUCCAAAAGGGGUUAAAACUUGGCUAAACAAUGUUUAUUUGGCGUAGUUUAGUUACGGAGACAGUUUAGUUACGGGGGCAAUCCCCUUCUCCCUCCCUGUCCCUUUCCAUUACUCACGAGCACCCUAACAUGAGUUUUCUGAAGCGCAAAUUUCAGUUACUAUAGUGCAGGAGAGGAGUGCGUCCGCGCUUGCCAGGAGGCCGGAGAGCUUCCUGUGUUCAGCCUGCGUCCCCGCAAACCCUGCAGGGUUUGAGUGGCGCAGGCGCCAGCCCCUCUAGCUUUGCAAGAGGUAGUCGAUCUCCAGGUUGCAGCCUGCAAAAAGAGGAAAAGGGGAGGACGUGCAGACCCUGGGAACCCCAGAGACCGGCUUGUGAGAUUAUUUUUAUUAAGAUCCACUUUUCAAAGGCGGUCCUGCCCGCCUUCAUCUUGGGGGAUGUGGAUUUGGAAAAGCCUAACGGAGGGGGAAAACAUUAAUUGAUUUCCCGGCUUGGAAGCGACCGCCCUGGAUAACAAUCCAGUCACACCGAAAGUACGUAAGCUGUCACUCAGCCGCAUCCUGGCUCCACUUAUUAUUUGCCAAGCGUGUAGUGUGAUGUGGCUAGUGUGAAGGGUGUGCACGCAGGGCGCACGCGCGCGCAAUUGCUAGGCGAGCACGGAGGGCGCAUCACACACACACACACACACACACACGACUCUUCAGUCCCAAGCAAGAUCCCCUGUAGAAUUCCCUGCCGCCCCUUGCUCAGCCCCCACCUUCUGAGUGCCUUUGGGCCAACCCGAAGCCGCCUCUUCUACCCGCCCCCUCCGCAGCACUCCUCUCCGACUCCACCCCGCCGAAGGCAGGUGCCCGGCCGGCUGCUGUUGCGGGUUGGCGGCGCUCCACCGCGGCUGGUGCCGACAUCUUCUUCCAGAACAGAUGGGAUGGGAGUGGGCGCUCCUGGAAAGGGCGUUUUAGCCGGACAACCAUUGGGCGGGUCCCCAAAAAGUUGGAGAUGGUGUAGAGACCGUUCUUAAGGAGAGAGAAAUGGACAGAGAGAGGGAGAGUGCCCUUUUGGUCCUUUAGCCAAAAUUCCUGCUUCCCAACCCACCUCCCACCUCCCUCCUCUCCCCCACCCCCGCCAAAAUCUGAGCUUGCAGACAUGGAUUUGCCCCCUCCCUCCCGCAGUUGCAGCAUACACACACACACACACACACACACUCUCUCUCACGACAUAUAUCUAUAUAAUGCGUAUUAUAUAUUGUAUAUAUGGUAUAUACUAUAUUAUAUAUAUUUAUAUGUAACCAAACAUGUAGAACCCAAAAAAGGUGCAUUUCUGGAAUCAGAAAUGGGGAGCAGAGGAGAGUGAGGUGGCAGGCAGCCAAAGCCUCUGGGAGGGAGAGGAGAGGGCGGAGAGGGUGUUUUGCUAGGCUGUUGCUGAGCAACUGGAGAGGGAGUGGGCCCGAGAGCAGGGUGCUGAGAGCGAGCCUGGCUCUGCAUUUCAUUCUGGCCAGUUCAGGAGCAGAGAUAGAUACGGAAAAAAGAAUGUGUGUGAGGCUGGAGGGAGAUGAAAGACGGGAGUUAUUUGAUGGGCAAAGCUCAGUAAAUAGCGAUAUUUAGUGUGUGGAAAAUAAAACUCUGGAGAAGAGAUCACCACACUCCAGACCCACUACAUCCAGAAACUGGAAGAAGAUCGUAAAGAGCAGGUACCAACCAGGGGCCAGAGCAGAAGGGAAGAGUGUGGAAGAAUGGCUGCGUUGAGUCCAGCAGGCGAUUUGGAGGGGUUUGUUUAUUUUUACAUUUGCUUUUUCUCUACAGUUGGUCCAAAAGCUGCAAUUCCCAGAGACUAUCCUUAAAUUGCAAUCUGGACAUGUUAUUCAAAACAGUAAGACUGAUUACACAUUGAUUACAUACUUGCAAAAAUAAAUAAUAAACAAGGAAGGCAGUGUAGGCUUCUACUCCCCUCCCCCAAUACCGGUGAAAUCCCCCGCUUUUAUUUCCAGUUUCGUUUCUUUCCAUAAAUUCUGUUAUGAUGUCAUUUCUCUCUCUCUCUUUUUAAAAAAAAUAUAAAUCCAGAGGAGUGACUGAACAUCUCUGUGAGGGGGAGAGGUUAUAUUCCCAUCUUGGCCACUAUGCUGUUGAUUUAGAGCACCUAACCAGGUUAGUUAGUUAGUGCCUGGCCACUCAGCUUAGCUCAGUCCUAGUGUCUCUCCAGGAAUUGUCUGGGUAUUGGCCAAAGAAUGUUAAAGCUGGAAGGAACCCAUAGCCAUCAUCACAGUCAAGGUCCUAGUUUUAGGAUGAGGAUACUGAGGCCCUGAGUGGGAAGUCACUUGCCCAAGAUGUGGCAGCAGGUUAGAGGCAGACAAGGGCCUGUCAGCUCUUCCCCGCAGGGGCUCCAGCACUGCAUUCAGCCAUUCCUGGCUUUCUCGCUAGUCAUUGGGGCUCAUGCCUGGGCCUGGGCUAACCUGCAGUAAGGCCUUUGGCAAACACUGCCAGAUGCUAUCACCCCAUGACAUAAGAACCCACAAUCUGAAGGCGCUCUGUUUUAGGGGCAGUAGGAAAAGGAGUGAAGUGGCCCCAAAGUGGAGAGGGCCACAGUCUCUUAUUUUCACACCCACUUCUGUCCCUUUUUCUACACAGUCUUGCAUACAAGCCUGGCUUAGGCUAGUGGUUUGGUCAGGGAAAGAGGACCAGGAGGGUGUGAAGGAGGGGUGUUCAGCCCAGCUUUCAGGUCCAUGCGCCAAACCUCAUUUUCUACAUGACAGGAAGCUCUCCUGAUGUGGAGAGGCAGGCAGGCCCUGGCUGCCUCUGAGCUGUGCAGCGGCCUGUAGUCUUGAAGAACACGGUGCAGAAGUGGACCGCUUCCAACAGCACAGUCCUCACGUGGUGCCAACAGAAAGCAGAGACCGAGGGAGGGUGUGGUUGGAUGGGGUGAGUGCAGUAACUAGGAAGUUCUGCAUCUGAAAGAGAGAAGGAAAACCAUACACCACCAAAGCUGAUAAGGAAGAGAGCAUGAGGGCCCCCUGGCUUUCAUAGGCAGGUGUAUCUCAGAUCUUUCAGCAGGAGAGGAGAGAUGUGCUUCCAGAGGGCAGCUGGGGACUUCCGGUUGUGCUGCAGGAAGUGCUGAGAGCCAUUCUAAUACAUCCUAGAGGCCGUGGCAGCUCCUCCUUCUGGGAUGCUUAGGAAGGAGGCAGAUAAGAUAGGCCCCUUUUUCCAGUAAGUCAGACCUGCCAGGUGAACUAUAGGAACAUUUUAAACGAACUCAGUUAUCUCAUGUUUGACCCCUCAACCUAAACCAUCAGGCCCCUUUCCCUGGCCUAAAAUAAGGUCCCACUGAAUCUGCACUCAGAGCCAGGCCUCAGAUGACCUCUGCUGAUUCUCUGAGUUGUUUUAUGUGGGUUCCAGUUAUCCCGAACUGGGACUGUGACACCCCUCUGUCACCUCAGCGAGGAUGACUCUUCUUCCAGAUCAUUUAGAAUAGCACUUCCAAUUAAAACAUAAUACAAGCCACAUUUGUCAUUUUUAAUUUUCUGAUACCACAUCUUUUUUAAAAAGGUAAAAAAAACAGGGAAAUUAAUUGUAGUAAUAUAUUUUAACUGAAUAUAUCCAAAAUAUCCUUUCACCACAGGCUCAAAAUAAAACAAUUAUAAUGAGAUAUUUUACAUUCUUUCCUUCAUAUUUAGCCUUUGAAAUCCGGUAUGUUUUUUUACACUUACAGCUCAUCUCAAUUCGGACACUAAAUUUUCAUUGGAAAUACUUGAUCUGUAUUUAGAUUUCAUAAAAUUUACAGUUGAAAAAGCAGAGUCACAUACCUGAGGCAUCCCAUACAUACUUUAAAAUCUUUCCAAUAACUGAGUUGAGUAUCUGUUCUUAAAUUUAAACUCAUUAAAAUUAAAUAAAUUUUAAAAUGUGGUUCCUCAGUUCCCCGGGCCACAUUUCAGGUGUUCAGUAUGUAUCUGCAUGUGGCUAGUGGCUACCAGCAAACCCCUCUCUCACCUGAGAAGGAAACUGCUGUCCCCACUCUUUCCUUUUGCUCCCAAAGACUCAAAAAAGAGGAGUCUCAGCUUUCGUUGACAGACAGGGCUCCCUUGUUUGGUCCCUGGCAGAGCCUGGGCACCUUCUUAGGGGCCUCAGGAGAGAAGCGUAAACGCUACUUCCUCCCUGCCACCCCCUUCUGGUCAUGCAGAACUUUAGGGGGAUGUGGCUGCGACUGGCAAUGUUCUGAACUGGCUGUGAUGGGUCAUGAUCGGAAAGUGGCCAGGAGAAAAGCAACCCAGUGCUUCCUCCAGAGGCUGCUCCCCACCUAUCCCUCAACCAUUACCUUCUCAUUUGGGGAAUGUAUGGGGAACAGACAGACACUUCUACUGAGUAUGCUCCCCCUUCCCCAACUCCAAAAGAAGCUUGACUGGAGAUUCUCAGCCAGGGACUUGUGCAUCAGCAUGUAUUUCCUAUGUGUACAGUUAUCGCCAGCUGCUUCCCAGGGACCAAGAAAUGUGAACCAGAGUCACAACCCCAAAUCCUAGUUUGGCAUCAGAAAAAAACAAGGAGCCUCUCUUUACCUGUGGUCCCUGGACAGUGGGGCAGAUGUAAGUGGGACCUCAGCCCCUUACUCUGUGAGGUGUCACCUUCCCACCUGUGGCAUCUGCACUGUGGAGGGUGGUGGGCCCCCUUUUCUCUAUAUGUCUUCAGGGAAGGAGACUAAGUGCCCUUAACACAGCAUGAAGGAAUGCGGUUAGGCAGAGGAAGGACUCCCGGGGGAGCUCUCUAAGUGGAGAUGGGUCCACAGAGCACCUGUGCCAAAUCCUUCUCACCUGGUGAGCCAACACUUUCUGGAAGACCUUCCUGCAGUCCAAGGAGCCUUAGAUCUGGUGGUCUACAAGUAGGCAUUUGUCAACCAGGUGUCACAGCAAUCAAAUUUUUAGUUGAUGAUUGGAACUAGGGAGGUGGUAGGAAACAGAGCGCUACAAAGGCAGAGACCUGUGCUGAGACUGAAUUAGCACGCAUCACCCUGAUUAAUCCUCAGAAUAUAAUGGAGAAAGGGCCAUUGCCAUCCUCCCCAUAACGCAGGUGAGAAAACCGAAUUGGAAAGAGCAAGAAGAAAGUAAGGUCUUUGGGAGGCUGAGGCGGGUGGAUCAUGAGGUCAAGAGAUCAAGACCAUCCUGGCAUGGUGCUGCGUGCCUUUAGUCCCAGCUAUUCGGGAGGCUGAGGCAGGAGAAUCAUUUGAACCUGGGAGGAGAGGGUUGCAGUGAGCCAAGAUCAUGCCACUGCACUCCAGCCUGGUGACAGAGUGAGACUCCAUCUCAAAAAAAAAAAAAAAAGAAAAAGAAAGAAAGAAAGGUCAAAGUAAAUCUGUACCAAGAUUUGUUUAUUUAGUUUUAGAAACAAUGUCUCAGUCUGUCACCCAGGCUGGAGUGCAAUGGCACAAUCAUGGCUCACUGCAGCCUCCGACUCCUGGGUUCAAGCCAUCCUCCCUUCUCAGACUCCCCAUUGCUAGGACUAUAGGUGCACACUGCCACACCCGGCUAAUAUUUCAUUUUAUGCAGAGAUGGGGUCUUGCUGUGUUGCCAAAGCUGCACCAGGGUUUACUGAGCUAUUGUCAACAGCUUCAUCUUCCUCCCAGAAAGGGCAACUGAAGGUUUAAGGUGGCACAGUUUGCUGUACCUAUUCAGUAGUAGAGCUGGGAUUUGAACCCAGGUGGUCUGGUUCCUGAUUCUGAACGGUUAUCCACUAUACUACAUGGUGUCUGUAUUUCUCUGGUAAGGAUAGAGAUAUAUUCCCAGCUUGGCCAGCUUUGCUGUUAGUUUAGAGUACCUAACCAUGCUAGUUCUCCUGGCCUAAAAUGGGGUAGGGGGGCUCAGCUGGGUACACCUAUAGCCCUCAUCAUCCAGUCAGUAGUUCUGUGAGUCUGCUCAACUCCCCUCUGGGGUCUUCCUCCUGGCUUUCCUCCAUUCUUACAGCUGCUUUUUAGGAUGAUAGCUUUGAGGGUUUGUUUUUUUCUUGACAGGUUAGUGCUCAUUUCCUCCUCAGCCCAUAAUUCAGGUUAAAAAAACCCAGAACAUGCAUGCCUAUUUCUGACGAUCGAGUAAAAACAAAAACAAACAAACAAAAAACAAAACAAAAAAAAAAUGUCUUCUGAGAGAGACUGGCGCCAGGCAGAUGCUGGUUAGAGAUGGGAUGGGUAGGAAAAGCAAUGAUGUUGCCACUUCCCUGGAAGGCUCUACAGCGCCUUCCCCUGCGCCACAACCACUGUGGCCUUUCUCCUUCUGCAAAUGCACAUACACAAGCGCAGAAGAACCAUUUGACAUCCACAGCUGUGAAACAGACUUCAAGAGACUGAGACAUGUCUUAUAUUUUUUAAAACAGUCAACAGCCAAUCCCUCAUGCUUCUACCAGCCUUGUGUUGUAGGGAGGAGCUGGUGGCUGCAAGUUGGCUAGGGACCUAGGGUUGGCAAGGGAGGAGGGGGACUGCAGAACAUUCUAGACUGGGCCUCAAUAUUUUCAUCCAUACCCAGGCACAGGCCAGUGCCGUCAGGCCAGCACUGACCAGUAGGACUUUCUGCAAUGAUGGAAGUGUUGUAGGUCUGCAGUGUCCAUAUGUGGCCACAAAGUCCUUGAAAUAUGGCUAGAGUGACUG